CUGGCUCAGGACGAACGCUGGCGGCGUGCUUAACACAUGCAAGUCGAACGAAGAUACCGGACUGCACCGGUUGCAUCUCACUGAAAGCCCGACACGUUUUUGCGGAAGGAACGAAGUUCCUGGAGCAACACGCGUGAAAUAGCUUGCUAACACAUGCAAGCAGGGAGAGACGAGAGCAACGGGUGCAGACCGGUAGACUGAGUGGCGGACGGGUGAGUAACGCGUGAGCAACCUACCCUUGAACGGGGGACAACAGCUGGAAACGGCUGCUAAUACCGCAUAAGACCACGAUCUCGCAUGAGGUUGAGGUAAAAGGAUUUAUUCGAUCAAGGAUGGGCUCGCGUCCCAUUAGGUAGAUGGUGAGGUAACGGCCCACCAUGCCUGCGAUGGGUAGCCGACCUGAGAGGGUGACCGGCCACACUGGAACUGAGACACGGUCCAGACUCCUACGGGAGGCAGCAGUGGGGAAUAUUGGGCAAUGGGCGAAAGCCUGACCCAGCAACGCCGCGUGAAGGAAGAAGGCCUUCGGGUUGUAAACUUUUGUCCUAGGGGACGAAAAAAAUGACGGUACCCUAGGAGGAAGCUCCGGCUAACUACGUGCCAGCAGCCGCGGUAAUACGUAGGGAGCGAGCGUUGUCCGGAAUUACUGGGCGUAAAGGGUGCGUAGGUGGCCAUGCAAGUCAGAUGUGUAAUACCCGGGCUUAACCCGGGGGGUGCAUUUGAAACUGUGUGGCUUGAGUGCAGGAGAGGUAAGUGGAAUUCCUAGUGUAGCGGUGAAAUGCGUAGAUAUUAGGAGGAACACCAGUGGCGAAGCGACUUACUGGACUGCAACUGACACUG
rnacentral:rRNA from 1 species